rnacentral:rRNA from 1 species
GACGAACGCUGGCGGCGUGCUUAACACAUGCAAGUCGAACGGUGAACUCGAGAGCUUGCUCUUAAGGGAUCAGUGGCGAACGGGUGAGUAACACGUGAGUAACCUGCCCCAGACUCUGGAAUAACACCUGGAAACAGGUGCUAAUACCGGAUACGACACGAACAGGCAUCUGUAUCGUGUGGAAAGUUUUUCGGUCUGGGAUGGACUCGCGGCCUAUCAGCUAGUUGGUGAGGUAGAGGCUCACCAAGGCGACGACGGGUAGCCGGCCUGAGAGGGCGACCGGCCACACUGGGACUGAGACACGGCCCAGACUCCUACGGGAGGCAGCAGUGGGGAAUAUUGCACAAUGGGCGAAAGCCUGAUGCAGCGACGCCGCGUGAGGGAUGACGGCCUUCGGGUUGUAAACCUCUUUCAGUAGGGAAGAAGCGAAAGUGACGGUACCUACAGAAGAAGCACCGGCUAACUACGUGCCAGCAGCCGCCGUAAAAC